ensembl:lncRNA
CCGCAUGCGGCCCAGCACACUAUCUUUCGCGCCGAAAGAUAACGGCUGGGCGUAAAAAUUGCGAUAUCAGCGUUGGAGAUCCGCUAUGUCCUACUUGAAUGGACUGAGGGUGAGGAUAGAGGGGCCCAUAGUAUUUUGGCUCUCGACUGUGUCCGGAAUUUUUAAGUAAAAAAAUUUCUUGAAAGGACUGAAAAAAACGAGAAGCUGGUGGAAUGGCGAAAAGGCCGCCAACCCUGGCCGGUGCACCGAGCAAGAAUUAUUGACGUGGCAAGUAUGUUACAUGCUAACUUUAUCUGACGUUAUGAAGUUACAUACCACAUUUAAUGUUUUUUCUCGCUCUUAAAGAAGUCUAAAAUGGAUCUUGCUAGGUCCCUGGUUAGCAAUAGCUUCGCUUUCUGGCUCAUGUUAGCUACAUAAUUUGCUAAUGUAAGCGAAGUCCAAUUGGGACUAAUGUUAGAUUUGGUAACGUUAAGCAUGAUUAGACAAACGUUUGCAGUUCAUGAUAACAUUUUAAUUUUAUUGUACCAGAAUUUGAAAAAACUCUCCAAAUUAAACUGCGUGGGAUCGAGAUGGAGAAAGAAGUCACACAGCAAACAAAACGUCCUCACAUCCCAAACUCAAAGUACCGUGAUCAGGGGCAGACUGAGAAGGCUUCAAAGAAAAGGGUUGACAAUAAAAAGAGAUGUCCUUCUAAAUACAACCACGAGGAGGAGGAGGAGAAGGAGGAGGAGGAGGAUGAGGCGCGUCAUGACAGGCCUUCAAAGAACAAGCGGGCCAGCGAAGAGGAGGAGCGUAUUGGGGAUGAAGAGGACAUAGUACCACCCUCUAAGAAAAAGACAGCUGCUGAAUUUAGAAAACACCUGGAUGAACAGAUGUGGGAGAGGAGGAAACUUGACCAAAUGCAAAGAAAUUUGCAGGAGUUGAGAAAUGAAGUCCAUUCUCUUAAAAAUGAAAAUGCACGUCUGAAAGACAUUAUCAUCAAUCAAAUCCCUCAAAUGAAAAGUGACAUCGCCAUUAUUGCUCAAAAGAAGACUGGAAGGACUCCUGUGGAGGAUCUAGAUUCCUCCUUCUCGACUUUUGGAGAAAUGCAA